GACGAAGGUGGCGAGCGUUACUCGGAAUUACUAGGCGUAAAGCGUGGGCAGGUGGCCCGGCCAGUCUGUUGUGAAAGCUCCCGGCUUAACUGGGAGAGGUCAAUGGAUACUGUCGGGCUUGAAUGUGGGAGAGGUGACUGGAAUUCCUGGUGUAGCGGUGAAAUGCGUUGAGAUCAGGAGGAACACCGAUGGCGAAAGCAGGUCACUGGACCACGAUUGACACUCAUCCACGAAAGCUAGGGGAUCAAACAGG
rnacentral:misc_RNA from 1 species